UCAAUAUAGUUUUAUUAACGAUUCACUUACACUGAAAAAAUCUCAUAAAUCACAUCUUUU
rnacentral:tRNA from 2 species